rnacentral:rRNA from 1 species
GUCCUUUGUGGCUGCAUUACCAUGCAGUCGACGGCAGCACGGGUGCUUGCACCUGGUGGCGAGUGGCGAACGGGUGAGUAAUACAUCGGAACAUGUCCUGUAGUGGGGGAUAGCCCGGCGAAAGCCGGAUUAAUACCGCAUACGAUCUACGGAUGAAAGCGGGGGACCUUCGGGCCUCGCGCUAUAGGGUUGGCCGAUGGCUGAUUAGCUAGUUGGUGGGGUAAAGGCCUACCAAGGCGACGAUCAGUAGCUGGUCUGAGAGGACGACCAGCCACACUGGGACUGAGACACGGCCCAGACUCCUACGGGAGGCAGCAGUGGGGAAUUUUGGACAAUGGGCGAAAGCCUGAUCCAGCAAUGCCGCGUGUGUGAAGAAGGCCUUCGGGUUGUAAAGCACUUUUGUCCGGAAAGAAAUCCUUGGCUCUAAUACAGUCGGGGGAUGACGGUACCGGAAGAAUAAGCACCGGCUAACUACGUGCCAGCAGCCGCGGUAAUACGUAGGGUGCAAGCGUUAAUCGGAAUUACUGGGCGUAAAGCGUGCGCAGGCGGUUUGCUAAGACCGAUGUGAAAUCCCCGGGCUCAACCUGGGAACUGCAUUGGUGACUGGCAGGCUAGAGUAUGGCAGAGGGGGGUAGAAUUCCACGUGUAGCAGUGAAAUGCGUAGAGAUGUGGAGGAAUACCGAUGGCGAAGGCAGCCCCCUGGGCCAAUACUGACGCUCAUGCACGAAAGCGUGGGGAGCAAACAGGAUUAGAUACCCUGGUAGUCCACGCCCUAAACGAUGUCAACUAGUUGUUGGGGAUUCAUUUCCUUAGUAACGUAGCUACGCGUGAAGUUGACCGCCUGGGGAGUACGGUCGCAAGAUUAAAACUCAAGGAAUUGACGGGGACCCGCACAAGCGGUGGAUGAUGUGGAUUAAUUCGAUGCACGCGAAAAACCUUACCUACCCUUGACAUGGUCGGAAUCCUGCUGAGAGUGGAGUGCUCGAAAGAGAACCGACGCACAGGUGCUGCAUGGCUGUCGUCAGCCUCGUGUCGUGAGAUGUUGGGUUAAGUCCCGCAACG